UGGGGAAUCUUGCGCAAUGGGCGGAAGCCUGACGCAGCGACGCCGCGUGAGUGAGGAAGGCCUUCGGGUCGUAAAGCUCGGUAGUGUGGGAAGAAUAGAUGACGGUACCACACGAAAGCCCCGGCUAACUACGUGCCAGCAGCCGCGGUAAGACGUAGGGGGCGAGCGUUGUCCGGAAUUACUGGGCGUAAAGGGCGCGUAGGCGGUUAUACAAGUCAGGUGUAAAAUACCCGGGCUCAACUUGGGGGGUGCAUCUGAAACUGUAUAGCUAGAGGGCAGGAGAGGGGAGUGGAAUUCCCGGUGUAGCGGUGAAAUGCGUAGAUAUCGGGAGGAAUACCAGUGGCGAAGGCGACUCUCUGGACUGACCCUGACGCUGAGGCGCGAAAGCGUGGGGAGCAAACAGG
rnacentral:rRNA from 1 species